GGACGGUAGGGGCGACGGCUCGCGCAUGCGCGUCGGCCCUGCCGCACGUGCGUGCCUCGCGCCGCGCCUCUUCGCUCCGCCGUGUUCUGCCCAGCAACGGCUCCGCUAUUGGCUCAACUCCCGACCAAUCGCAGCGCGGCGGGAACUUAGGCGGGAAGGUCGCGCAGGAGGUGCUGGUGGAUGCUGAGGGUGAGCGGGGAAAGCGGCGGGGGGUCGGGUGGCGGUGGGCUGUGUUCCGGGCGAGCUGGGGCUGAGGGGACGGGCUGUGGAGAUUCCUGAGGGUGAAAACUGGACACAGGGAAGGUGCCUGUCCCAGACUGCACCGUCUUAAGGUCACCACUGUGAUGGCCCCGACGUGGCACCUUGUACCGCUCCCACGCUGUGUUGGUUACCUGAGUUAGCGUGCCCUGCCUCCCCAGGAGGAGGAGGCUUUGGGUGGUCAGUGAGCGGGAUGCGUGCUGGCUGCAAAGAAGCUGCUGCUGUUGUGGUGACGCUUGAGUCCAUCGGCUCAGGGCCUUGUUUUGGGUGUGUGCGUGAGAAACAGCACUGUCACAGCCUGCUGAUGCCUCGGGGGGAGACGGACGUACAGAUAAACACUGGGCAGAAAGGGGAGGAUUGAGGAUGGGUGUUUUGGAAAGUGGCCUUCGUGCAAACGACGCUGCCUGCUUAGAGAAUUGGAAAUGCAUUUUGCUGUUUUAUAAAGCAUCCAUUGUAAAAACAUCUGCGUCAAUCACUCCACACACACACUACCGAGAGCUAUAAUGAUCCCAGCCCAUAGCCUGGAGAUACUGCCUGUCCUCACAAACAACCAAAGUGGGUGGAAGUUUCAAGGGCUGCAGAAGAACAAGAAUUAAAACGAUGCUAUAGAUUUUAAAUCUACAAAGCUUUCUGCAACUAGUUAAACAUGGUAUCAUCCCCUGUGGCUUUACAGAUGGGUUUUCCUGUGUUUCGACACGUAAGGGUGCAGAACUGGAACAAACCACAGAAGAAAGUAAUUAUGGGUCUAAGCCAGAGGCUCUGAGGUUGGUGGCAAUCUUUCCGCUGACCUCGGGUGGCUUUGUGUCCAGCUGUACAUACCAAGGGAAACAGUAAAACAUGUAAUUUCAUAUCAGAGUGCUAUCAUAUGCUCAUAAAAAUAGAAAAAAGAGAAGCAUACUCCUCUGCCCGCUGCAAUCUUUUGGAAUUACAGUAAUCGAAGCCGUAACUUGAAAAGCUUGAAUUCACUGGGGACAGAUGGAUACACUUAUUGAUUUAGGGGCCUCUGUGGAUUUCAGAAUAUGCUCGUAGCCUUCCCUGCUGCUUUGUGAUGCUUUAUACUGUGCUUGGACCAUGCUAGAGCUGUGGCAGUGAGAAAGAGACUCCUCAGCAGCCAAGCCUAAGGCGUAAGCAGAAGCUGUGACUGGGAGCCUGCAAAUGGGAGGACAUCAGCGGUAGAAAGUACUUUGCAGCUGGGUGAGCCGACCAGGGCAGAGAAGUCAAAGGAAAGCCACGGAGCCAGGACAAAGCUUAAUUAAAAAAUUCCAAGACGCUGAUAUCAGAGGACUUCCUCUUGUGACAAGGCAGCUGAUCAGCAGGUGAGGCAAAAUCCCAGUUACUGGAAAAGGCUGUAUCUUCACUGCAUGCUCCUUGCUGACUCAGAGGUAGGACUUGGUAUCACCUGUCUCCGUUGCUGGACGAACAAGCUGGUGGUGCUGUGCUGAUUGCUCACCGGGGCGGUGGCCAAGGCAAAGCUGGGCUCUACACUUCCUUCUGUGUCACACAGUGCAGAGCACUCUUCCCUUCUCCUUAGGCCAUCCCGGGGGCAGGAGUGAUAAAAGGGCAAGUGAUCUGGGUCUGUCCCAGUCCUGGGACACGCUCAAAGCUGAGAAAUAAGAAUGCAUCCUGUACGGCUGGCAGACAACUUUGAAGGCUCUGUGUGCUCAUGAGCUGACAGGGAUCAGACUGCAGGUGACGCAAGAUGGACAAAGGGGCGUUCAGGGGCAUUAGUUACAGUAUGCAAAACAGCUCCUGCGUGUCCUACUGCUGGUGCUGGCCUGGGAAGAGGAAAGCAAAGUGUUAAAGGGCAAAGUCCUCUCUUACUGCGUGAUCUGCUCCAGCCCACAGAAAGUGCUUUUCAUGCGGAGUGUGGCACAAACAGCCCUCUGCCUCUUGGGCCUGCUGUGGGUGAUGGGAGCCAAAUGUUUUGCACAGGCAGCCCCGUUCAGACCACAGUGAUCUCACAAACUCUGCUGUGUGUCUUGUGACAGUGGCUGAGACAGGGAGCCCAGCAGCAGCUCUGGGGAAGAGUGGAAAUCACAUUUCCUGGAAACAAAGGAGAGUACGUGAGUGGUCUGGGUGGUGGAAAAGCUGAUGCAGGCCCCUUUAGUUGCACUCGUUGUUCCCUAACUGUGUGUUUUGGAAGGGUUCUCUGUCCUGAUAGACCCACAAAGCUAGCCACACAAAGCCCUGGACCAAGCACAGGUGGCAGGCCCUUUGCUUUGAGGCAUUUUUAGUGUUUUGCAGGGGCAAUACUGAUCCCUGUCAUGCAGAAGUCCUCCCCUCAGCCUCAGCAGCCCCUGGUGCUGCCCCCCUACCCCCUCCUCCUGUGGCCUUGUCUGCCCUUAAAAAGUUACUGAUAUAGGAUCUGGUGAUACCAGCAAACACUCCCACUGUAGAUAGAGUCUGCACACAAUAGAGGCAUUUUAUUAGUGCAACUUUUACUAGUACUCAAAGCCAAAUAACCUGCACUGGAAAAAGCACCAACACCCUUUAGUCCCAUUGGCAGGAUCCUCUCUUUAUAUACCAGCAUCCACAUUCACUGCCAGAAUUUGCUGGCUAUAUCUUGCCAGCAAACUGCGAGAGCAUGGUUCUCUCAUUUAGGUGCUCAGGAAUUGGUAGCUGGGGCUGUAUGUGUGCAGAAGUGACCCUCACAACUGACAGCAGUCACUCCAUCGACGCCCAAAGCCAGACUGGGAUGAGGUCCAGGCGUGCACCUGCACCUUCCUUCCUUCUCAAGCCUUACUCUCUGUGGAUAGAGACCUGCAGGAACAGGGUCCUAAAAAGCAUGGUGUUGUGCACCAGCCUGGCCUUUGCUUUGCCCUCGCCAGUGCUUGUGCCAGUGGAUGGCUGAGCACACACCUGGAAGGGCUCAGUGAAUCAGGCUGGCUGGGUUCACCUCCCUGUAGGACUCACUGUGGAAGGAAGGCGAGGUCUGUCUGACAAAGCCGAAGUGCAAGUUGGUUAUCCUGGCUUGCUCUGCAGUUUAUAGGAAGAGAGACCCUGCCACUGAGCUAGUCAUAUCCUUUCCCGAGCAUCCCAAUCAGCAGAAUCUGAGCUGAUUUCUUACAGAGAAGGGAAAUUCCUAUCUUGGGUCUUACUCAGAGCUGCAAUCGUUUUCCAUUAACGUCCCCUUUUGCUUCUGUUACUAAAUCGCAGCGUUGAGCUGUCUCAUUUCUCCAUUCUUAGGAGAUAUCUCGCACGUUGCUUGCAUCUACCGUGGGAGGGAAGGCUGAAGAGGUGAAGGCUGGUGCUCAAGACUAGGAAAAGCACCGAAGGCGGAGAGAAGAACGUACUACUUAGUGCAGACAUCUGUCAGAUGGGACGUUUCACCCCCCUGGUGCCACACUUCCCCUCCUGCAGGGGGAGGACAACAACCUGUUGGGAUUCCCACAGGAAAGGGGCUGCGGAAGCGCCUCGUUAUCCUGAUGUAGAACAAUGCAGGCCAUCUCUGAACUGCCUACGCUGGGCCUGGAGACAGCAGCCCCCUCUUCCUCCUGCCCUGCACUGCUGAGGAGCAUUCCUCUGUCUGAUAAACAAGUUGUCUUGCUCUGUUCCGGUGGUAGCUGCCUUGUUUGGGCGUCUCGUCUGGAGAAGGCAUCAGCAGCACUGCAGGAUGAAAGGGGACACGAAGCAGUAGGAUGGACUCAUCCGCCACAAUACUUAACGUUUAAAGAAGAGCACUAUCUGCUGCGGGGUGAGCCCGAGCCCGGGGAUCAGGGUACAAUCUUCCCUCAGAAGUGAGCAAGCAUUACCGGGUGUGCUGGCUGCUGCCGGGCACCGCUGAAUGAGGAGCCGGAGCUGACAGCGUGCUAUUACACCCUGUCCAGCUCAGCCCUGCAGCCCUCAGGACAGGAGGCGCUCACCCAGCUUCAAAGCCACACGGCUCCAAUGCAGAGCCGGCAUAGGCGUGUUCGCAGCGGCGCAUUUCAUCUUUGAAGAAACUCACUACAGACUUUAAAGGCUGUAAAAUCUCCGGGCUGAUCAGAAUACGGGAUUGGAAUACAGCAACGUAGCAUGCACGCCACAAAGCUGCCCCGGGCUCUGGCACGACCACCUACCUGUUGUCCGUGCGAUGGCAGCCACCCGGCCAGCGCUGAGGUGUGCUGCUUGGCUCCCUGCUCCUACAGAGGGGCAAAGGCUCGCUUCUUAACCCCACUCGGGCCGAGCCCAGGACCGAGAGGUGUCUGUGCCGGGGGCAGAGGAGCCUCCCGCUUGCUGCAGAGGCAGGAGCUGCUGUCCCGUCCUGCUGCGCUCCUUGCAGCCAGCGAGCCGAAUGAUCUGAUCUACUGAUCCAGCGUCGGGGAGGGUCUGGGGGGUCUGCCGCCCCGUAAUCUCACUAAACGCGUCCCUCUCACUCGUUUAAUCCCGUUGCUCUUCAUCGUGCCUUUUUGCUCUGAGCAAACCCCACCCCCGGCCCGGGGAUUACCUUCCCCAAACAUCUGCAGGCGGCUAUCGGCUCCCGCACCUCUCCUCGCCCAACCGCGCCGCGCAUAUUUACCCCUGAAAUCACCUGUCCCCACCCAAGCCAUUCGUCAAUCCUUUUCCUCUCGUCAUUAUCUCGCUUAGCAGUUUAGCAAUCGGGAGCGGGCAGAUCCUCCCGUCCUCCCCAGCGCCCCAGUCCCGCCGGCGCCGGACCAGAGGCGAGGCAGAGGACCCCCAACCUCCGCCCGGCUGCUCGCAGGUGAGCGGCGCUUCCUCCCGCAGCGAGGACGGGCGGUUCCCCGGCACGGCGGGGGCAGAGUCCCAGCAGCCGUGGCUCAGCCGGGAUGGGAGCUGCGGCCGCCGCGAGCUUUACCGGUAGGAGCGGCUUCCGGAAGCCUUCCCAGGCGGCGCGCUCACGGCGCCGUACCGCGGACCCCCACCCACCCCGAG
rnacentral:lncRNA from 1 species